CGGCCCCCACUUGCUGUCCCCACUGCACCUCCAUCCUGACCCCCAGGUGCUCAGGGGACCUGGCCAGCCAGCUAAGGGAGGACGGAGGACGUCGCCCUGCAGAUGAGACACGGCCCCCACCCCUGCGGGACCCUAGGAGCCCGAGCCCAGCCGAGGUGCCUCCCGCCCCUGGGCACUGUGGCAUCCGCCUCAGGGACAUCGGAGAGGAGGGAAGGUUACAGGCCAGGCCGGCAGCGCCCCCCGGGCAGAGCCAGGCCCAAGAGCCCGUGGUGGCACAGACACACCACAGCCCCACUUCAGCUGCAAAGGUCUGCGCAGCAGAGUGGCUGCAGAGGCCCUCCGGGGCUCUCGCUUCUUGUACUUUUUCCCUACGUCACCACACGUUUCCUGUGUUCCUGAAAGACAGGCAACUGCCGCAGUCUAGCUGCUGCCUGCCAUGGUGGGCCACGUCCUCAGCACGCAGUUGGCGUGGCGCAGCUUGCCCCCCCAGGAAAGCUGGCAGAAGACAGGAGCCCCCUCCCUGCCUGGCUCCAUGGUGCCCGCCCAGCUUCCAGUCUUCUCCGAGCAGUCAGCACAGCUAAUGUCAGGGAUGCUGCCCCUCAGAACUGCUGGGGACCUGGCUGAGGCGUUGGAGACAACUUCCCCUCAGAACCGCCCACCUGGCUUCUCUCAAGUUAAAUGUAAGAAAUUUGCUUUCCUCCAAGAAUGUGCUUCAUCUGCAGGGCCGUAAAUCAAUCUGUAAGCCUCCUCUUGUAUGUAACAAAAUGGCACUAAUUGUUCUUGAGUGCGGUGGGGCCAGUGUGCUCACCGUGCUGUUGCUGUUUGCCACAAAGACAGACGCGACCAUGUGGUCCUGGGCAACAGUGGCCUCGCUGGGACAGGCAGGGGCCUCGGAGAGCAGCGUCCCAGCAGAACUCUGGACUGGCGCCAGCGGAGGAGGAGAGGGGAGGCCACACGCAGGCCUGCACGAGGCAGGCGUUGGGUCCCAGCAAGGCCACACCAGAGUAAACAGACAAGAAUAACAGGGUUGGAUACUUCGGCCCCUCCGCGUAAAAGCCCUGCCAGCUCAGCCAGUGGACAAUGGUGCCAGCCUCCAUCUCUCCGUCUGUGUGAGCCUCAGUUCUGGGGCCACUGUCCAUCCGCAGAACCCCCCAUCAGGCUGGAAUCGGCCACAUCCACAAGGACACUGGACCUGUGUGUGCUCGCAUCACAGCUGGGGGACGCUCCUGCAUGGUCACACAUGGCGGAGGCUUGGAACCCGUUCCCCGCUGGCCCCAAGAUGUCAGCCCCAGCGACUGGGGGAGCUGCAGAGUUCCCCCAACCUGAGCAUAAACACUGGCACCUGUCUGGAGGCUCAGAAGUAACUUUAAAUGACCCCCAA
rnacentral:lncRNA from 1 species